rnacentral:rRNA from 1 species
CAGUAGCCGCGGUAAUACGGAGGGGGCUAGCGUUGUUCGGAAUUACUGGGCGUAAAGGGCGCGUAGGCGGCCAUUCAAGUUAGAUGUGAAAGCCCUGGGCUCAACCUAGGAAUUGCAUUUGAUACUGUUUGGCUUGAGUUCGGGAGAGGUGAGUGGAAUUCCCAGUGUAGAGGUGAAAUUCGUAGAUAUUGGGAAGAACACCAGUGGCGAAGGCGGCUCACUGGACCGACACUGACGCUGAGGCGCGAAAGCGUGGGGAGCAAACAGGAUUAGAUACCCCCGUAGUCCCUGUCUUUAUACA